rnacentral:rRNA from 1 species
GAUGAACGCUGGCGGCGUGCCUAAUACAUGCAAGUCGAGCGAACGGACGAGAAGCUUGCUUCUCUGAUGUUAGCGGCGGACGGGUGAGUAACACGUGGAUAACCUACCUAUAAGACUGGGCUAACUUCGGGAAACCGGAGCUAAUACCGGAUAAUAUUUUGAACCGCAUGGUUCAAAAGUGAAAGACGGUCUUGCUGUCACUUAUAGAUGGAUCCGCGCUGCAUUAGCUAGUUGGUAAGGUAACGGCUUACCAAGGCAACGAUGCAUAGCCGACCUGAGAGGGGGAUCGGCCACACUGGAACUGAGACACGGUCCAGACUCCUACGGGAGGCAGCAGUAGGGAAUCGUCCGCAAUGGGCGAAAGCCUGACGGAGCAACGCCGCGUGAGUGAUGAAGGUCUUCGGAUCGUAAAACUCUGUUAGUAGGGAAGAACAUAUGUGUAAGUAACUGUGCACAUCUUGACGGUACCUAAUCAGAAAGCCACGGCUAACUACGUG